rnacentral:rRNA from 1 species
AUCUAUGGCCAUACUCCCUUGAGCAUGUGCAAUCUCAUCUGAUCUUGGAAGCUAAGCCGGGUCAGGCCUGGUUAGCACUUGGAUGGGAGAAACAACAAGAGUGCAUGGUUUCACAGUUC